rnacentral:rRNA from 1 species
AUACGUAGGAGGCAAGCGUUAUCCGGAUUUACUGGGUGUAAAGGGCGCGUAGGCGGGGGUGCAAGUCAGAUGUGAAAGCCCGGGGCUCAACCCCGGAAGUGCCGUUGAUACUGCGUGGCUGGAAUGCGGUCGAGGCGGGCGGAACGUGGCGUGUAGCGGUGAAAUGCGUAGAUAUGCCACAGAACGCCGAUAGCGGAGGCAGCUCGCCAGGCCUGCAUUGACGCUCGGGCACGAAAGCGUGGGGAUCGAACAGGAUUAGAUACCCUGGUAGUCCACGCCGUAAACGAUGGGCGCUCGUCGUCGGCGGCAGACAGUCGGCGGCCAAGCGAAAGCGAUAAGCGUCCCACCUGGGG